CGAUGUUUGUAUUUGUGAGCUAACGUUACCUUACAGCAUGGUGACAAGACUGACGUUACAGGGCGGUGAAGUAACUUAAGUUAUCUUUCUAGCUAAGUUACACACACUUUCUAUUUUAAGAUUGACAACCUUCGUAAUUUUCUCUGGUGCUGGGUGUGAUAGAGAGCAGCCGUUGCCUAUCUUGUCAACUGUAAGGAAAACACACAGGGCUUUUCCUGGCUCAUAAUGGGCCUUUGGGUGGUGACUUUGCUCGACAGUAACAUUAACUUAAGCAUGAUCGGUGCUCGUACAGUAAAGGCAGUGCGAUACCUUAUGACCGUAAUCUAUGCAUUUUCUUGUUAUUUCUGACCAUUUGAUAAACAAAAUAUAUCCACAACCUGGAGGAGUAAAUGUGUAAAUUAGUGUAUUAAUAAAUAUUAUAACAUUAAAUAGAAAGUAUAAUGUCAGUACAAUUAUAUAUUUACAGUUUACACUUUAUUUGGAUAGUAUUCCUACAGAUAGUUUAUUAGUUGAGAUUCAGCUUUUUUACACAAAACCGUUUUCUGAUAUUUUCCUAUAAUAUUAAUUCCAGUUGGACAAAACAGCAGUUUAAUUUUGUGGGUUGUUUUCAGUCAUUAAGUUACUGUGCAAGAAAAAUGCUCUUCAUGGUGGUUAGUCUCUCAUUUUUUUUUAUGCUGUAAUAAUAACCGGACAUACAGAACAACACGUUCAACAUUUCUUAAGUUUGCUGUAGUUCCUCAACCUUUUUGUAAUGUCCCGCCUGCUCCAGGCUGUGAUUGGUCAUGAAGUGACUUUGACGAGCAACUUUAAACACGCAUGAAAGGCUCCUGAUCUCCCUGCGGAGAUUAGCAGGAAGGAGAGAACGUGAACAGGCGAGCGUCACGUAGCACCCAGAAAACCUAAUCUGGAGAGGGCAGAGAAGAGAACCGGUGCCGGAGUAAAAUGUGAAAGUGCUAGUACCGGUUAAUACAGCUUCAUGGAGGAGCGUUCAGGCGCAGUCAAACCAACGCAGCAGCUGGUUUAUUAAUCCAGCGCCAGCUGCAUGUGUAAAAUACUGCGGCUGUGAAUGUGAGGAGAGGUGACUGCUGGAAGACAAGACGUCGUAUUUAAGUUUAUGUUCUGCUUGUUUGAUAAAUGGCUAUUAAAACACGUUCGGAGGGGAUUUGAAAUGCUUUUUUCCCCCAAUUCAUAUCAUUUUGGCGCUGGUGAUUUUCCUUUGGCGCUUGCUAAAAACAUCUCUUUGCAGGAAAAACCCUGAACGCAUGAUUGGCUGAUUGGAUAAUUGCAUGAAUAAGCAGGUUUACAGGUGUUCCUUAUAGUGAUAGCUAAAGUUCUUGGUGAGUGGACUGAGUACUUCAUACAUAACACAUGAUCACAAUCUAAGUUUUACAAUAUGUGUACUGACUAAAAAAAAGAUAAAUCUAUGGGUACAAGAUAUGGUAACAGUUGAGUCUUAAUCUUUUCUUAUUCUAUAUUUGCAGGUGUGUGCCACAGCCACUGACAUUGAAAGGAUGGUAAUGCUACCAAGCACACCAAGAUAAUGUUGAUGUCUUCUUAAUUUUUUUUUAAUGCAUUUCACACCAUCAAGUCAUGCUUUUUUGGUACUGAUCCAGCGAGUGUCUCUUUGCUGUGCACACUCAUCUGGUAGAACUACACUUUUGUCCUUUAUCCCUAACUUCCUCAAAAACAUUAUCCCUCCAGCUCUUAAUCUCCUCCUGGCUAAAUCAAAUUGUAAACAGUGAAUUUGUUUUACAUCUUCACAUCUAUGUGUGGAAUUGUGAGCUCUCUGUUGUGGUCUGAUCUCAGCUCCAGUAGUUACUUCCUUUUCCAGCGAGUCGAGAACAUGUUGAGGUACCUGAAAUGAAAAUGUCAAUAUUUAAAAUCUGGUAAGGACGCCUCCAGGCACGUCCAGCUGGGAGGAGGCCUCAGGGAAGAUCCAGGACUAGGUGGAGAGAUUAUAUCACCACACUAGCCUGGGAACACCUCGGGAUCCCCCAGUCAGAGCUGGUUAAUGUGGCUCGGGAAAGAGAAGUUUGGGGUCCCCUGCUGGAGCUGCUGCCCCCGCGACUCGACCCCAGAUAAGCGGAUGAAGAUGGAUGGAUGGUUUUCUGAAAAUGGCUGAUUCUGAUUUUCUUUCUUUCUAAGAACAUUAACUAAGAGCAUUCACAAAUAUUUUCAUAACUUCUCUUUAAAGAAAAAUUAUUUUAUUCAUACUCUGAAUCCACACAGGGAAAGCCUGCACCAUAUUGAGGUAGUCUAGUCAAUGCUUGUGCUGACAACAGACGUGCCACAGCGCGUUCCAGAAGCAGCUCUCCACUAGUAUGGAGUUACUUAGUGAAGAUCCUAUGUGGACUCUUAAACAUCUGGAGCCGGUUGCACCAACAGGGCUUACGCCUGGGCUUAAGAGUGUCACUGGCACUGAGCCGUCGCCUUCCACGAUCUGCUCACCUCCCCACUGAGGCCGAGUGUGCGGUGAUGAAACACAGAUUCCUCCGGGCCUCUGACAUUCCUGGUAUUGUGGGCUGCAUCGAUGGGACUCACAUC